rnacentral:rRNA from 1 species
GACGUAGGGCGCGAGCGUUUGUCCGGAUUUAUUGGGCGUAAAGCGUGCGUAGGCGGUUUGUUAAGUCCGUUGUGAAAGCCCUGGGCUCAACCUGGGAAUUGCAGUGGAUACUGGCGAGCUAGAGUGCGGUAGAGGAUGGUGGAAUUCCCGGUGUAGCGGUGAAAUGCGUAGAGAUCGGGAGGAACACCCGUGGCGAAGGCGGCCAUCUGGACCAGCACUGACGCUGAGGCACGAAGGCCAGGGGGAGCAA